rnacentral:sRNA from 1 species
AAUGGCCUGGUGGCGUCAUGUCUUUGGACCUUAUUGACAUUG